UCCGCCCAGGGUUAGCCGGUUCCUUAGUCGAGGCCGAAAGGCGUAGACGAUGGACAGCAGGUCAACAUUCCUGCGCCACUAGCGUGGACCGAUGGAGGGACGGCGUCUGUAGGGUGAGCGGUACGACUAGAAAUGUCCGUGGCUCGUUGGGAGGUGGGGGAUAGGAAAAUCCGCCCCCGUAAGCUGAAGAACGGGACCGACCGCGUUUAUGUUCGGGAAGUCAUCCGAAAGACGUCCAAGAAAAGCUUCUAAGGUUUGAAGCCGAGUUGACCGUACUAAAACUGACACAGGUAGGCGAGACGAGAAGUCUAAGGCGCUCGGGAGAACACUGGUUAAGGAACUCUGCAAAAUGACCCCGUAAGUUCGCGAUAAGGGGUGCCCUUGGCGGUUCACGCUGCUGGGGGUCACAGUAAAUCGGCUUCUGCGACUGUUUAUCAAAAACACAGGACUCUGCUAACUCGUAAGAGGAUGUAUAGAGUCUGACGCCUGCCCGGUGCCGGUAGGUUAAGGAAGAGGGUUAGCCUCCUUUUAGGAGGUGAAGCUCGCGACCGAAGCCCCGGUAAACGGCGGCCGUAACUAUGACGGUCCUAAGGUAGCGAAGUUCCUUGUCGGGUAAGUUCCGACCCGCAUGAAAGGCGUAACGACUGGCGCACUGUCUCAACAGCAGGCUCGGCGAAAUUGUAGUCGUGGUGAAGAUGCCACGUUCCCGCAUCAAGACGGAAAGACCCCGUGAACCUUUACUAUAGCCUGAUAUUGAGGCUAGUUAUGUCGUGCGUAGCAUAGGUGGGAGGCGUUGAAGCCGGGCUCUUGGGCCUGGUGGAGCCAUCAGUGAAAUACCACUCUCGUCAUGAUUGGUUCCUAACCCGAAGCCGUGAAUCCGGUUCGGGGACAGUGUCAGGUGGGUAGUUUGGCUGGGGCGGUCUCCUCCUAAAAGGUAACGGAGGAGCGCGAUGGUGCACUCAGUGUGGUCAGCAAUCACACGUCGAGCGCAAGGGUACAAGUGCGCCUGACUGCAAGACCUACAAGUCGAGCAGGUACGAAAGUAGGUCCUAGUGAUCCGGCGGAUUCCGAGUGGAAGGGCCGUCGCUCAUCAGAUAAAAGGUACUCCGGGGAUAACAGGCUGAUCUCCCCCAAGAGUUCAUAUCGACGGGGAGGUUUGGCACCUCGAUGUCGGCUCAUCGCAUCCUGGGGCUGGAGAAGGUCCCAAGGGUUUGGCUGUUCGCCAAUUAAAGCGGUACGCGAGCUGGGUUUAGAACGUCGUGAGACAGUUCGGUCCCUAU
rnacentral:rRNA from 1 species